rnacentral:lncRNA from 1 species
UGCCAUUUUGGGUAAAUCAGUAUUACACAAGCCUAUUAAUAUCAAACCUCCCCUUCCAUAGACUUGGAUGGGGAGGAGAUCUGUUCUGUGCACCGCAGGUCAGCCUGGGUGUUCGUUAACAGACAUUACUGGUUAUUCUCAUGUUUAUGCUUGUCUCCCUAGUCAUUUGCUCUGUUUUCUCCAGGGGUUUAAAUGCUGCUAUGCAGCCACUCACUCGACAAAUGAUUGAAAUAUAUAUAACUACAAAGAAAACCAUCACAAGACGCUUUGAUGGCAGUCAUCAACAGCCAGGCUGAGGCUGUUCUUGGAGUGGUGUAGAUCAGGAGUUCUGAAAACAACAACAACAACAACAACAACAAUAACAACAACAACAACAACGUAUGGUCAACUGAUGAGACUCAGAAUCUCUGUGGGCCAAGAAGUGAGACUUGUUUUGUAGCUCACCGUGAGAAGAUUUGAAAUGAAGAGUUCAAAGAACUGGUCUCUGAUGAAUGGCAUUGGGAUGGUGAGGUCUGGAAAAAGAUGGGAAAAAGGACUUCAGCUUUCAUCAAGAGCCCUUCUCUAACAAACACUAGAUGUAUUAUUUCGUGUAUUCAUUAUUCUGAUAAAACGUGAAAAAUCAUAUGAAAAUAGAGUAUAAAUAAUUCUAUUAAUCUGAAACAAUUUAGUUCUUUAGAAUGUGUCUUAAUAUAUUAUUCUUCAGUAUAGUAUUGUUUUACAUAUACAAAAACUACUGAAUUAUCAUAGUAAAACAUACAAACAAUUUUGAUACAGUAAAUGUUUCUCUUAACUUUGAUCAAACUUUAUUUGCCACUCUGGUAAUAUUCUCUAGUUGGUCCUAUGAGACCAUUAUCUAUACUCUUAAAUUAUACAUAUAGGUACCUAGAGCAGCUUGUUUGAUUUUAUUUGUGUAUAUAACUUUAACAUAAAUAGACCCCUCUAAAUAUCAAUAUGGAAUUCUUUUUUAACUUGUUGAUAUAUUUCAGUGAGAGUUUAAUUUCAGUAUGCAUAGAUUUGCCUUAUGGUACAUUUCUUUUUGUGCUCUUUAUUUUUUUCAUAUUUAGGAGAAGAAUUUCUAGACAAUAGGAUAUAGGCACUUUGAACUUUAUACUCUUUCACAGACUAUAUGAAAAUGCAUGUUUUCCCAAAUCUUCACCUAUAAAGGGUGAAAUACAAUGUAUCACAAUACUAUGUCAAUAUAUUAUUGCUCUAUUGUGGUUUGAUUUUAAAUUCCUUGAUUCAUAUUCUGUUACAUUAUUUGAUUUACUUUUCAUUUUGCUGGAGUACUUAAGUUACUUUUAAGCAAAUGCAUGGUGAUGGAAUAAAUGUUUUGACUACUUAAAUGUCUGAAGUCUAUGAUAACAAAUUUUUAAUUUUAGAUGAAAUGAAGAAAUUUCAAGAAAACUGCAACUUACUAAAACUGACACAAGAAGAAAGUCUAAAAUUUUUCAUAUUUAUGUAAUUGAAUCUGUUACAAAUGAAAGGAAGGAUUUCUUUAUAUAUUCUGGAUAGUAAUCACUUUUUAUAAUACAUGUUUGAAAUACCUUUCACCCACUUGUCACUUGACUUUUAAUACCCUCUAUGGUGCUCUCUGACACAUAGAAGUUUUAAAAAUGUAAGUAGAAUGUCCAAGAUAUUACUAGUGUUUCCUGAUGUGCCUUGUUCAUCUUACCUUUUGGGAAAACAGAAGGUUGCUUGGUCUGUUUCCUGUUAAUUUAGGCAUGGCCAUGUGACUGUCUUUGCCCAGUGACAUGUCACUUCCAGGGGAAAUCAUUUGAGUCAGUUUACAAUUCUCCAUGUCGUUCUUUCCCUAGAGCAUUGACCAAGGUGGUGUAUAUUCUAAAUGGUACAGCUAUUCAAUAGCGGAGGAAUAGAAAAAAAUAGCAAACAAAUGAUAAGAAUGUAGAUUUAAACCCUGUUAUUGAUGAAAUACUUAAACACAUUAAAAAACAGUGCCACUGGAUAAAAAAGAAAGUCUUACUAUUAUAAUAUAUGCUGCUUCCUAGAGAUAUGUCUUAAAUAUAAGAAACCAGAAGGUUAAAAAUAAAAGUAUGGAAAAGCAUGUUCAGAAAAACCUAAUAAAACAAAUCUACCUUGAAUAUGCCAAUAUUAGAUUAAGUCUAUUUUAAGGAAAGAAGCAUUACUAGAGAUAAAAAAUUCAUCAUAAUUAAAGGGUCAAACAACUAGGGAGACUUAACAAUUCUUAAUUAAAAUGAAAACCUAAUUGCAUAGCUCAAAUAAUAUACAUAUAUAAAGAAAAGCACAUAAAGCCAAAAUUGAUACAAAUAAAAAUAUACAGAUCUACACUUGUCUCAGAAAGUGAUACAACAAACAGAUGCAAUAUUGGUAAGGACAUAGAAGAGCUCAACGCUUUGUUCCACAGCAUGAUUGAUAUGUAUAAAAUACUGCACCCAUCAAUUCAGUGAUGUACUCCUUUUAAGUACUCACAGAUUAUUUAACUAAAUUGCUCAUGUUUAGGGCUACAAAGCAAGUCAACAGAUUGCAAGCAAUUAAAAGCUUGCAGAGUAUGUCUAUUGACCAUAGCUCAAAUAAACUAGACAUAAAAACAAAAUGCUAGAUAGACAGUACCCAAAUGUUUUAAAAUUAAACAACUUACCCUUAAAUAACCCAAGAAAUGGAAUCUGUUAUAAAUGAAAAGAGAAGGAGUGUCUAGAAGUCAGUAGAUUUUAAUAGUUAAGGAAGCUUGAGACCUAAAAGAACAAGUGUUUCUUUCACAAAUGGAUGUGAAUUGCACUACGGAGUAGGAGAGACUCCAGUACCACCUCUGGAACUUGAGGGCUCCGAGGUGUAAAAAUGAAUAUUCUUUACUACAGAGAGCAGCAGAGAACCUGUACUAUCAGAGGAGAGUUCUAUUUCAAUUGGGAGAGAAAAUUAGAGGCACAUAUUGGUGAAGAAGCUUAGGAUUUUUUGAAAUACCUGAAAUUCAGAAACAUAAUUAUGAAUACACAUAUUACUAGAAAAUUUCAAUGCAGGUUAAAGGUAGUGACAGGCAAAUGCUGUGUUUAAAUAAAAAAUUGAUCUUACUCUUUUGGUAUUUAUUUUGAUGACUUUAAAAUUGCCAGAGGGUUCAACAGACAUCCCUAAUCAUUUCCAUCCAACUUCUAGCUAUUCCCAAAGCCUUAUCCACCCAGAAAUACAAUCAUUAAGGUUUACUGGGCUGAAGUGUGGGAGGGAAUGUAAGUGUCUGCUGUAUACAUUUAUGAGGUAAUGAAUUUUUUUAAAAGAUUAAAAGUUUAAGGUUUUUUUGUUUAGAUUGUUUGAAAACAUCCACUCUCCUAAUGUAAGUACCUCUGUGGAUAUAGCCAUAUCAAAAUAGUUAUGACAAAAUUUCAGGUAUUUCUAUUGGAAUAUAGGACAGUGGACAGGGAAGAGUUAAAUCAGCUGGCCUACUCUAUUUAUUCACACUAUUCAUGUCCUAUCGUGGGGAUGGUGUUGGGGUAUAGACCUGGGGGAACUAAAAGCAGACAGGCAACCCGGGUAACUUUGUCAGUAUGCUAACCAGACUUUCUAGUAAAUAGAUUAAUAAUAUUUGCUAGAACAUCCUUAUCUAUGGGAUCUUCUUAACAAGAUAUCUCUGUUUAAGGAUUGCCAGUAUGUCACAUAAACUGGGAUAUAAAAUGGACGUGUUUCAUAAAUGGAACAUCCUCACCGUGAGGAAUAAUCUUUAAAUAACUUUAUUACUGUGGGCCGCAGAGCACUUGUCUGAUGUCAAAAAGGAAGAUGUGGGAACCAUUCUCAAAACUCCAGGCCUCUAUUUAUUUCCAUUUGAGCCUCUUGAUUGCCUAUAUCUUUAACUUGAUUAGUAAAAUCUGUUAAUGGGCAAGAUCCUUGAUUCAUUUGAGUUUGAAAUGAUAAUGUGUUCCUUUAUGUUUUCUCAGGCAUCUCUGUGAGUCUGUGGUUUCAGAAAAGACUUUUUGUAAGAGCUAAGUCUGAAAGCCUUAGCUCAGUUUGCUUAGUCAAGAAGGGUGCAGCUGGAUAAAAAGAACAUGAACAAAAUUUUUAAAAAAGCCCAAAUAAUGGAACAACAAAAAAACUGUGAAGGAUAGUGUCAUUGGGAGUGACAAGAGGUAAGUUUACAAAACAGGACAGGGCCAGAUCAUGCUUAGGCCAACUUGUGAGAGGUGGCCUUCCUUGGCAUUCACAGCAGACACACCCAGAACUGCAGAGAGAGCAGGUGGAACCUCUGCAGAUGCUAUUUUGAAGGUAAGCAGAGAGACUGGCGAGGCAGCCGUUCCAGCAGCUCAGUUGAGAAAUGACCUGGGCUGAACCAGGAUAGGGAUGCAGCAGAAGGAAUGCUUUUGUAAACCAUUUGGGAGGGAAAACUUUUAGGUCUUGCCUGUUGAUUGGGCAUGAGGCUUGAGGCAGAGAACAGAGUCGAACUGAGAACAAACUUUCUAGCUGGAAUGGCGGAUGAGAUGGUGAGGCUGUGGCCUGAAAGAGUUCAUGCAGGAGGAGAAAGGAAUUCAGGAGGUGUAUGAUAAAAGUUCUGUUUCAAACACCUAAAGCUUGAGGUGCCUGUGGGGUAUGGAGGUGGAUAUUUCCAAGAUGUGUCUGAGCCAUGAGAACCCAGAGAAGCUCACAUGUAAGGUCUAGAGCAAAUGUGGGCAUCAUAUGUAUAUAGUUUGCAGUUCAAACUCUGGGAGAGGACGAGAUUGCCGGUGAACAAAGAAUACAAUAAAAAGGCCAGAGCACUCACGGGCUAGUUUGUAAUUUUUAUUGAGCACGAAUGUGUUUAUCACUGGAUUCUUCAGGACUCUGUAGUUAAAUAAGGUAACUGUAUUGUGAGCCUUGUAUUUAGAGAAUAUAUAGGAUUGAUCUUCCUGGUUUACUCUGAGGAUCUGUAUAUUGAUAAAAUGUGAUUAUAUUAUAUAGUUUCCAGAAGAGAUAAUUUAUAUCAUGUACAAUGAUGAUAUAGCUUGUUUGAUGUCAUUAUUCUAAUAAAUAGGAAAUCCAGCUUAUCUGCAAAUCAUACUUAUGCUUCUCUCUUUAUCAGCAUGUACUCAAUAAGCACUUGGUAAUUGUAUGUUAUAUAAAUGAAGCUAUGCAUAUGUAAUGUCCGUCAUGUUAUUUGGAAGGGGGCAUCUGUGCUAAACAAGCUAAACACUUUUAUUACCAAAAACAUCAAGGAAUGCAAAUACCAUAACUUCCUGCAAGUUGUUUAUUGCCUAUGAAAAGUAGCUAAAAAGUAUUAUAUAUUGCCAUUUCAUCAUUCCAUGAGAUUACUUUAUUGUUAAGUUGAAGUGACUGCUGGCUUUAUUAAACUCAGUGCAAUAUUGGAUUUCAUUACAAAUUUUCAUUUUCAUAGUGAUAAUGUCUUCCGCAAUACAACACUCUUCAUUUAUUACUUCAUUUUCACUUCUUUUUAGCUUUUGUUUUCAUACAAACUCUAAAAUGAAUAAGCUCAGGGAAAGCCUCUUGUGACUAAAGAUUUCUUAUACUUCAACCUUUGGAAAAUUUACAUAAACAUUACUUGUCAUCCCAUUGUGAUAUGGGCAUAUGAGAUUUGAUUCUCAUUUUGGGAAAUAUUUUGUCACAACAAGAAAGGGCUUUGCUUUCUCUUCAAUUUUUGUUAGAGAUGGUGAAAAUUUGACCUCCAAACUAUUAUUCAUAGUAUGGAGAGAAAUGAAUAUCAGAAUUAACAAGCUCAGAAUGCUGGAAUCAAGCUGUUAAACACGACAGAUCAUUUUAGUUUUAAUAGCCUUUUAUUGUAAAUUAUUUUACAAUACAAAUUGCUUUCUUAACUUUUGUAUUUCUGAUAAUCUUGAUAUUUCCUUGGCUGAUAUUUAAUGUUUUAUGUUGUAUCCUUCCUUUUUCUAGAGCUAUUUGUGGUAGGUCUCAAUUGCUCUCCAUUAUUGAGACCUUUCUCCUUGGGAAUAAAAUUUCUCUUCAUUUAAAAAUCCAGUCAUUUUAAUGUAGUGUUACAAUGACUUCUCACUCAACAACAGCGUUUUGGAUAAAAUGUUAAUUACACCAUGAAACUUCAAUCAUCAUCAUGAUGGCAACACUUGCAUUUUCAUUUUUAAUUCCUUCAGUGAGUUAACUCUUUCUAUUAUGACAGGGUGAUGUAAUGUGAUGGGAAUUUCAAAACAGCCCUGCCUUUGGCAUAAAAUAGCCCAGUGACUUUAGAUCGGUCUUGCAAACAGUCUGGACCUCAGUGUACUCAACGGUAUAAUUAAGGAGUUUAACUUCCUUCCAGGUGACAACUUCUAGAAUUAUUGCUGCAAAGAUCCGGUUAUCCUCACAGGGAGUGAGUGAAAAAAAGUGGGAAGAAACUAACUUAAUUCUAAGAAAUGAGAGGAUUACAGAUCCCAGAAGAUAAUCAAGUGCUUCAAGACAGUUGAUUAAGCCAAAUUAUAUGUGGUAGAGAAAGAUUUGUGGAGCAGUUUCAGAAUAUAUACACAUGUCUGUCUGUUGAAUGUAUUCCUUCCUCUUACAGGAAGGAAUUCCUUCCAGGGUCAUUGUAUGUGAUAAAGAUCACUUGUAAAUGAAAACUUUGGAGGUUACAGAAGAAGUAAAUGUCAGAAAUGAAGGAAAAUAAUAGCAGGUAAAGGAAAGAAAGGGAGGAAUCGCAGAAAUGAGAAAAACUGAAAAGGGAAGAAAGCAGAGACCACUAAUUAGAAGUCGAGCAUCUUGGAGGAUGAAAUUAUGCCAUAAUUUUCUUCCCUUGUAAGUGAUAUAUAUAUAUAUAUGUUGGAUUGAAUUUUGUCUAUUUUAUCUUCCUUAAGGUUUGUAUGACAAGUGAGGGAUCAAAAGAAGGGAGAAAGGAAGGACAGGCAGUUUGAAAGAUGAAUAAGAUUUGAAAACUCAAGAGGAAAUUGAGGGGAGUUUUUUUGUGAUGACAGGAUACUAUUCUAGUAAGGUUUAUAUGGCAAAGGAAGUUGAUUAGUAGUUCCAUGGUGAUGAAUAUUGCAGUGAACAUUUGCAACUGGACUGCUUGACACUCAGUCUAGAAGGGAGAAGUGGAGACCAUCUUUCUUUCCAGCCCCUGGCGGCACAUGGCCCAUGGACAGUGAAUGAGAUGCUCUGAAAGUGCAGAGGUCCCUUUAGGGUUAUUAGAAACAAGUAUGUUGGAGAAGCAAGUCCAGUGGCUUGGAGGUGAGUGUUCAGGCAGAGCAGCUGCAGUCGGAUGCUGAACAGACCAUUCCUCUGUCAGGAAAAGUAGCUAAGCAUCUUCUCCCUCAAUUAUUAUUGAGCCUAUUCUGCUAGGUUUUCAAUUAGUUUUGGGAGGUGACCCUUUACAAUAAACUCCUUUACUGCUUAAGUUAAUCUGAGUCAGUAUAUAACCAACAAAUACUCCUGGUGACUAUAAAUCAAAUAAAAUUAAUUUUUCCAAAAUACUUAAUUUUAUAACCUCAAAUUUUAACAUCCCUUUCUUAAUUUGUCAAGUCUGGGAAACAUUUGACAUGAGAGCAAGUGAAAAUAUCUCAGGUUUUAUAGUCAGGACACUUAGCUCUUUAGCCACUAUCUUUGUCAUCUUGGGCAAAUUACUUAGCCUCCGCCCUUAAUGAGUUUCCGCUUCUCUCAUGUGUCAUAUAGCAUCUUGGCUGCAGCUGAGAUGUUUCUGGAGCAUACGUUUUCCUUGGGGGGUCCUUUUCCGUUCAUUCAUAUGCCGGAGGGCAUUUGAAGAGAACAUUUCCUUGGUGUGUUAGGAAUGCAGGCAAGGAAAAUAAGAGGGAGAGACAGCAGAGUGUCUGUCUUCUUUGGGAUCUCUUCAACUGGGCUAAGCUUCUGUUUUCACAGGAACAACUAAAAAAGAGUUCAGGGACUAAUUCUCAUGGAAAGUCUUGAGACUGAACCAGUAUAGUGUUUCUAAAAGACCCCAGAAAUAAAGUGGAGUGAGAGCUAAAGAAAGAGUCUUAUCUUCUAUUUCUACAUGUUGUCCAGGGUCGUUUUUGAUGUCUUGAGGGGAUCCUAUCAGCAGGAGAUACAGAGAGACUCCUACUGACAUCAGCCUUCAUGCACACAUAUGAAAGGAGAAACCAUGUAGCUGAUCCAGCCUGGAGACCAUCGAUGACAGCCUGGAUGAUGGACACAGGUGAGGGGACUCCAUCAAAGAACAGACAAGACUUUGUUGUAGAAAAACAACAACAACAAAAAAAGAGGCUGACAUCCUAUAAUAAAUUUGUGUUUGGCAGAAUCCUAAGGUGGCCCCAAGAUUCCCACCUCUAGGUGUACAUAUUUUGUAUACUCGCUCACCCUCUGUCUUGAGUGUAGGCAGAACUUGUGAAUAUGAAGGAAUGUCACUCCGUGACAUCUUAGGUUAGAUGACAAAGGUUAUCCCCUCAGGGGAUCUUGAUUAUAGCUGCAAAAUCCCCUUUGUCAUCCCCUUUAAAUUAAUCAAAAGGGAAUAUGAGAGUGGUCUGCAGAUAACAAGUAGCAAGAAAAUGAAGACUUCGGUCCUGCAGCUGCAAGGAAACAAAUUCUGCCGACAAACGCGAGAAACUUUGCAGUGAAUCUUUUCCUGGUCAAGCAUCCAGGUUGAGAACUCAGCUCAGCCAAGACCUUGAUUUCAGACUUGUGAGAGCUUGCAUGGAGAACUCAGUGACUGUCUGUAGUUUAGGAGUUAAUUUUCUCACUCUGUGUAUUAACUGAGUCUGCUUGUAAUUUAUUGUUUCUGACUUUUUUAAAAAACUGUAAAUAUUCAUUGACUUUCUAACGGAUUGCCUUUGAUUGAUCGAUUGGUGAUGGAUGCUAAUGGAAUCUGUGACCCAUUCUUUACAAAUUACAGAUUUCAGAAAAGGAGAGAAGCCAAAAACGUUCACUUGAGAGUGUCAUUUGAAGAGGUAAGCCUCCUCAAUUGACAUAUGUGCCCAAACAUUUAGCUGCAUUAUUUUCUGAAGAGCCAGCAGACCAUUCUGGUGACACACUCUUUGCCUUAUUGUUUGCUACAUAAAAACCUGAAUGGAACUAAAUUAUAAACUAGGGCUAUAGAAUAAAUGCAGCAAUGAUGGCUUGAAUGGCUAAAACCUGAGAUGUCACUCUCAAUGAAAGGCAGUGUUUAUUCCACAGCUCAGAGUCACCAAUAGCAUGAGAUACUAAGAAAAUGAAAUAAACCCUAAGUUAGUAAAUUACAAGAAGUCAUUCUCAAAGUCCAUGUCUUGUCUGUCCUUUUGAUCAUAAGGUCAUUAUGAGAUACAAAUACUAACAUAUUUAAAAUUUAAUAAAAAAGAUUUUAAAAUGUAGUUCUCAAGAGUGGUCAGCAACCUUAAAAUUGGGGGCUGCAAACACAUUCCACUGGCAAAGGAUUAUGCAAGAUAAAUUGUUGAACUUUAAAAGACUAAUAAAUUAUAUUGCAGUUAAUUUUAUUAUCUUUUAAUCAACAAUGAAGUGGAUGCACUAUGUUUAAGUUUUUCAAGGAUUUUGAAUAGAAAAUUGUGUUUUCUGGUCAACUCCCAUCACCAAUAUUCUGGACACGAAAUUUGUUCCAUAUAAGAAAGUAGAAGAGAUGGUUCUGCUGUGCAGACACCUUAAAAAAUCCAGAAAUGUGGCAGAGGUGGUGGCCACCACUUGCUCCUCUUUUCUCGAUUUUCUGAGCUGGACUUUUAUUGAAGGAUAUAGGGAAAUUUGAAAAGAAAAUACUGCUUCUAAUCCUGCAGUCAUCUUCUGCUUUGGCUCUUGAGGGUUCGUUAUUCUGGAAGCUGGAAUGACAUUCAGUAGUGUACUCUGAAAAAUGGGAGGAGUUAAUGCGGUUUUUUAAGGUAUGAUUAUGGUCUCCACUUUCCUGUCUAAUUUUCUGUAGGGUAAUUCAACCUGUAUUUCCCCAUCUCUUAAUGAGAAUGAAUAGCUACACAGUCUGUUUCAGGGGCUUUAAUUGUUUCCUAGACAUUGCGGAUCUUUUCUAAUAGUGCUUGUGAUGCUUGAGACAAAGUCCCCAUUCUUGAAUGGUUUCUGCCAAUCCGACUUUGUGAAUAAACUCUAAUGACAAUAUUUUUGAGAAAACCAUCGUAAGAAUGCCAUCAAUGUCUUGGAAGUGAA